UAUGUAUAUACACACACACACACAUUUAUGUAUAUAUACACACACACGCACAUGCACACACACACACACAUCAUUACCCUGGCACUAGUUUUCAUUAAUAUAAAUCACCAGGAAGUAGAAUAAGAGUCCCAUAUCUUCCAUAGUGGCUAACUCAUUUUAGUCUCUGGUAGAGAACAAGGUAGCCAAAGGUAUCAGCCCUGGGUAGAUGCUGAAUGGGUGAUGAUUCAGAGGACCAGAACAUGAUGCCCCUUACAGUUUGAUCUGAAGGUCAACAUAGUGAGCAGGCUCAAGAUCCAGAGCCAGCCUUUGCAUCUGAACAUUUCACGAAUUUAGAAAAACUAAAGCAUAGUGGAAAAAGCCAAGGCCAUCCAUCAUUUGAAUAACGAGAAGUUCCAGAUGUGCCCAGAUGUCAGGCUAGCCAAAUGAAAUGGGACCCAGGGGGGCUCUGAGGUUUUCUGCCAGCUGCGUUUCAAAGCACGAAACAGGCAUUCUCCAUGAUUGACUACACAGAGCCACAGUGAAGGUUCUUAGAAGAAAAAUGAGGGAACAAAUUGGAAGUCGAAUGGGUAAAUAGCCUGCUCCAAAUUGCAUGGCGUCAAUAAGUUAUGACUGCAGCAAACCUAUUCAAGAUAAUUGCUGUUGUAUACCUACUUCCCCAGGACUGGAGAUGCAAAAUAUGACAGGCAAGGGCCUGGUGUACAUUUGAGAUUGCUGUGGAAUUUUGCAUUUAUCUGAUUAUAUGCUGGCACGGAGCUUUAAAGCCAUCAAACACCGCCUGUCCCCAAUAGCCUGGGCAUUCCCAUUUCAUCUGCUAUAUUAUUUCCCUCUGUUCACAUUGUGCAUGUGUGGGGGGGUUGGAGAUUGGAGAUUAAAAGAAAAAAAUUAAAACAGCCGUA